rnacentral:rRNA from 1 species
CCUACGGAGAGCAGCAGUGGGGAAUAUUGGGCAAUGGGCGCAAGCCUGACCCAGCAACGCCGCGUGAAGGAAGAAGGCUUUCGGGUUGUAAACUUCUUUUAUCAGGGACGAAGCAAGUGACGGUACCUGAUGAAUAAGCCACCGCUAACUACGUGCCAGCAGCCGCGGUAAGACGUAGGUCGCAAGCGUUCUCCGGAUUUACUGGGUGUAAAGGGCGCGUAGGUGGGAGUGCAAGUCAGAUGUGAAAACUAUGGGCUCAACCCAUAGCUUGCAUUUGAAACUGUACUUCGUGAGUGCUGGAGAGGCAAUCGGAAUUCCGGGUGUAGCGGUGAAAUGCGUAGAUAUACCGAGGAACACCAGUGGCGAAGGCGGAUUGCUAGACAGUAACUGACGCUGAGGCGCGAAAGCGUGGGGAGCAAACAGGAUUAGAUACCCGUGUAGUC